rnacentral:rRNA from 1 species
AUGGCCUGCUUCAUCGACGGGUUCGCCAGCAGCCGCUGCUUCCGGAGGAUCACCUCCAUGGGGAUGGAGGUCAGGAUGGUGUCAAGCUUGGGCACGUCGUCCUCCGCGACGAACACGCCGAUCUCAUCCCACGGGAUGGCGUCCGCGAAGGGCAGCACAAUGUCGUCCGCGAUGAUCACCGGGAUGCACCCGAACACCACGGCCUCCACGAGACGGGGGCUCCACGGAGCCCAGCCUAGAGGGCACAGGCAAAAGAUGGCGCGCUGCAUGUCCUCGUAG